rnacentral:tRNA from 1 species
UCCCUGAUGACUCAGUGGUAAAGAACCUGCCUCCCAGUGCAGGAGACACAGGUUUCCAUCCCUGAUCAGGGAA